UACGAAGGGGGCUAGCGUUGCUCGGAAUCAUUGGGCGUAAAGGGUGCGUAGGUGGCGCUGUAAGUCGGGUGUGAAAUUUCGGAGCUUAACUCCGAAACUGCAUUCGAUACUGCGGUGCUUGAGGACUGGAGAGGAGACUGGAAUUCAUGGUGUAGCAGUGAAAUGCGUAGAGAUCAUGAGGAAGACCAGUGGCGAAGGCGGGUCUCUGGACAGUUCCUGACACUGAGGCACGAAGGCCAGGGGAGCAAACGGG
rnacentral:rRNA from 1 species